UAUCAUAUGUUGCUCGUUGUGCAAACGAUUGUAGAGUAUCUAUCGUAUCAUAUGUUGCUAGUUGUGCUUAGAUUCGACGGACCUCCGUCAGAUCCACCGAAAAUUCCACUUUUUCGUCCCUCCGGCUAAUGAAGAUUUGAAGAAGUUCCUCAAGUGUCGGAGAUGAAAUUUGAGUCAAUUGGAGAAUGGAACUGUUAGGGAGAAACCAUCA
rnacentral:lncRNA from 1 species